rnacentral:rRNA from 1 species
UGGGGAAUAUUGGGCAAUGGGCGCAAGCCUGACCCAGCCACGCCGCGUGAGUGAUGAAGGCCUUCGGGUCGUAAAGCUCUGUGGGGAGCGACGAAAAAACGCUGGCCAAUAUCCAGCGGACUGACGGUAGCUCCUUAGCAAGCACCGGCUAACUCUGUGCCAGCAGCCGCGGUAAUACAGAGGGUGCAAACGUUGCUCGGAAUCAUUGGGCGUAAAGCGCACGUAGGCGGUCCGAUAAGCGGGGAGUGAAAGCCCUCGGCUUAACCGAGGAAGUGCUUUCCGAACUGUCGGACUUGAGUACGCAAGAGGAUCGCGGAAUUCCCGGUGUAGAGGUGAAAUUCGUAGAUAUCGGGAGGAACACCAGCGGCGAAGGCGGCGAUCUGGGGCGAUACUGACGCUGAGGUGCGAAAGCGUGGGGAGCAAACAGG